rnacentral:lncRNA from 1 species
CACAUAUCAAAAUGAAAGCUCGCACACACAGAAAGCUCAUUAAUGUGUGGAGGCGAAACGAAGGAGGAACUGACCAAAAGGAAGCGAUAAAUGCGUCGAAACAUGCUCGGCAAUUACUCAUUUUACGAUGAUCGCACAAAUGGUCAACGACCAAGGGGCGUAUGAGGCAACGCCUUCGGCCCGCUCGGCAAAGAAGUCUUUAAUAAUAAGCAACGAGAGCAGAGAGAGUGGUGCCCAGUGCCGAUUGUCAUUGUCUUGAAUAAUGCGGAUUUAAUGUCCUUAAUGUGCGAGGCAGUCCAACCAUUAUGCGUGUAUUGUUUUCUCUUGUAUUUUCUCUAUAUAAAUCUGGACAAAAAAGUUUGUUGUGAAAUUCUGCUGCCACGCAUCCAAGACAUGUUCGCUCGCUCGCUGGCAGCUUCUUUUGUUUUCUUAGAAAAACCCAAAAGAGUUUUUUGGGCAUUCAAAACGACGCGCCAUUGUGCUGUGUAUCUGUCAUUUGAGUGCACUGCAAAUAAAUCUACCAAAAAUGCUCACAAAUCUCUACUUUAGCUGUGUAAUUAGCGGAUAUUCCUUUUGGCCACGAAAUUUCCCUCAGUGUACAUUUGCUUGGGCUUUUCCUUUUGUUGUAGUAAAUUAGGCGACACUUAAAGCAGUUGUGGGUGAGAGUCCGUCCCGGCCACAGAGAGGCAAACAGAAGAACAGCUAGAAGUUUACGCCCACACAGGAAGUUUGAAUUUAAUGUCGUGUAGAGAGAGAGGCGAGGCGAGGGGAGGGCGAAGGGACAGGGGGCGGAGCUCUCUGCUGUCCGUGCGGUUUUGCUUCGAGGGGGAUAAGUGGUUGGUUGGAGACAGCGGAAGUGCGCGCUUAAGUGCUCAUUAUGUUUAGUUAAUGCCGCUAUUUAUUAGAAAAUCUAAUGGGUUUUUAUCCAACCCUCUGCCUGCUCCUCUUUGUCCACGCCUUUGUCGUCUGGCUGGCUGGCUGGCGCAUAAAAAUAAUAUUUGUGUCAUUUAUUUGGUUAUUUGUUGAUUUAUGUUUUGGUAAUUUGUUACAACUUUUGUCUACCGCAAUUUGUUGCCUCGCCGCUUGCCGCUUGCCGCUUGAUGAUUGUCCUUGGAGGCUUGCUUCUUGUGGUUUUUUGCAUAAUUUAAAUUUAUGCACUUGAUUAGAGUCUUGGGUGGUGGGUGGUAAAGGGGUUUGUUGUGUUUUGAUUGGGCGCAUAAAUAAAUAUUAAUGAUA